AACAUGACCAAAAUGGUCAGUUGACCCCUUUAGGAGUUAUUGACCUUUAUAGUCAAUUUUUAACCAUUUUUCGUAAAUCUUAGUAAUCUUUUACAAAAAUCUUCUCCUCUGAAACUACUGUGCCAAAUUAAUCCAAACUUGGCCACAACCAUCUUUGGGAUAUCUAGUUUAAAAAAUGUGUGGCAUGACCCGGCCAACCAACC
rnacentral:lncRNA from 1 species